GAGAUACAUUGAGUCCAAGCUUAUCCCAAAUUGUUGGAGUCGGCUAAUGAUAAAAGAGAUAACCAUAAAAGUCUGUGUUUGCAGCAAAUAUAACAUGGCAACUGUCAAAUGGUAUGCGUAAGAUGUUUGAAUCUUUUGAGGAGGUAGCACGUGAACGUCAUUUUUGUCAUUGCUGCGAAUGCUCUUUUACAGCUGAAGAAGAGGAUAUAGCUUUGUUAAGAAGCAAAGGGUAAAGGAUUCAAGCACGGGGGAACAUCUUAAAGUAUUAGCAGUGGAGUCUUCCUUUGCUGACUCUGUAUUUCAGCAGCUAGACAAACUACAGGCAGUUUUAUGUGUAUGUCUGUAGGUAUUAGGAUUCUCUGCCCAGAUAAAAGCUGGCAAAGACUCAAUUGAAGCACUGGUGCAGCCCUUGGAAAAUGCUGGCAGGAUCUUUCAGGAAAUCGGAUUCUACCAAAAGCAAAUUGAAGAUAUUGAAUAUAAGCUCGAUUUCAGGGAUCUUGGGGCUAAAACUAUGGAAGAAAUCCAAUUAAAAUUAAGCCUCCAAAGCAGCAAGGAUAAAUUGCACGAUGAGCUGGAGAAACUUGGAGAUGACCAGAUUUACAUGGAACAUAUAUAUCAUGCCUCCAGGGAAGGUGGCAUGCAGUAAGGGAGGAGCUAAGGCUCGUGUUAUGACUACAUAAUAUUGUGCCUACCGAGAUGGGUCUUGAAGAGAUUGAAAACAGUAGGAUCUACUGUAAAACAAGAAACUAUAUCUCAAUUAAAGAGCUCUGUAUGAAAAGAAAAACUUGAAGUAACUUUGAUUGUGAACAAAGAGACAGAAGGUUUACAAGAACUAGACAAGUCAGUGGAAAUCCUGGUCCGGUUUAUUGUGUUCAGUUCCUGGUGGGAAUGAGAAAAAUGGGCAGGUUCAUCAACAAGUCAUUGAAAUCAUCACUGACAUAUCUUCGACUGCGGAAAAGUUUCUAAGAAGUGUGUCGUACUUUGCAUUACAGGCACUAGUGAUCGAGAUGAAGAUAUAAGACGCGAGCCUCAGCUAUAAAGUGCCCUACUGCUUUCUGCGAAGCAGUUGGUCCUGAUUUGUUUCGAGUGCUUUACAAAAUCAUGAAAGAGAACUAGAAUCCCAAGGUUCUUAGUGAAGGCUUGUUGUGGAUGGCUUCGGUAAUUGAUGACUUUGGUGUCUCACUUCUGAAAACUUAAGAUAUUCGGAAGGAUGUUGGGCUGCAAUCUAAUAUAGCUGCCACCAGAAAUGCUAGAAUCAAACUUUUGGGUGCUUUAAACAAGUUUAAUGGUCCAGGUGACUAUGAAUUCUAUAAUGAAGGGUUCCGUAAUGAUGUCAAACCUACACUACUAAGGGACUGCGGCUCCAAAGAGAGUUGUAUUAAGACGUCGGUUUCAACAUCAACCUAUGCUGGAGGGGACUACGGCUCCAAAGAGUUGUAUUAAGACGUCGGUUUCAACAUCAACCUAUGCUGGAGGUCUGUAGCAAGAUUAGCCUAUUCUUCAUAAUGGAUAUGAGAGUCCUAAUUGGAAGAUGAGUUGAAGCCGUAAAUGUUGACUCCCAUUAGAGGUAUUGCCGCAGCUAUGAGGCCAGCUAUUGAGUAGGCGAGCAAGGAAAUUCUAUCUGAUGUUCUGAAAUGUCUCGGGGACAACAAGAAGCACAUGAGGGAAUAUAAUUUGACUGCUCGUGAUUCAUUGCUUGGUGUUAUGCAUCUUAACAAAAUGGAAAAAUCAGCAAAUGUGCAUAAAAAACAGUCAAGACGUUUCAGAGAUCUUGAGAGUCAGCAGACAAGAAACUAUUUAAAAGAAUAUCAAAGAAAUCUCAAGCCCAACAGCUUGAAAAAGUAAGACCAAGAUUUGUUCAAGCUUUGGCAUGGCCAGAGUGUCAAAAGGUGAUUCAAAGAUUUCAAAAUCAACUUCUAGUGGUACAUUGAAGCAAGGAAAUAGAGCUAUAACACUUAAAGAUGCAAGAGAUCAAAUUCAAAGUAUGGAAUCGAAUUCUCGAAGAGUUCAGAGAGGCAAAAUUUUCUUUAUACUUCAUUUUAAGGUCUUUGAAGAGUCAGGUAAAAUCUAUGUCUCUCUUCUUAGGGUAAAAAAGUUAACACAAACACCGAACACAAUUAAAAAAAAAAAAAAAAACUCACGAAAACUCACAACACAAUCACAAAUACAUAACAAAAAAAAAUCAAACAAAACAAAGACUCCACAGAAGAAUCGACAAAAACUCCACAAACUAAAAACUUCACAUGCCACGAAACACAACACAAAAAUCGACAAAAACUCCACAAACUAAAAACUUCGCAUGCCACCAAACACAACACAAAAAUCGACAAAAACAAACAAAAUCCACACAAACUAAAAUCUUCAUUUGCCACGAAAUCCAACAAAUUCACCAUCACCUGAAAGUAGUUUAAUGCUGUCUAUUUAUAAUGCCAAUAACAAUUCAUAAACAUUUAUGCACGAUUUUAUUGCCAUAUUGGCUCAUUUUAAUACACUUUCCUCCUAAGUACUAUACAAAAUUUCACAUUAUUACUUUAUUUUUCUCGAUGUGAUUCAGUGUUUGUAACAUUGUUAUUAUUAUUAUUUUUUUUUAUUUUUUUGGUAAUUUUAGUUGAUGAAACAAUUGUAAAAUUAACUUCUCUGGAUGUAGGAUUUUGUUGUAAUGUGAUAUUUAUUAAAUAACAAAAACUUUUAUGCAAAGAGGUUUAUAGCAACUUAUAUGUUUUUCUUUAUACUGCCAUCUAAAGAAAAUAGAUGUCCAUAAUAAAAUAGCAGCUGAAAUUUGAAGGACAAACCGAGACGAAUCCCAAAACGAAAACAGGCUUAUUGAGAGGAAGAAAUCGAGGUUAAUUUGAAAAUCGGAGAUGAGUGUAGACGAAGAUGAAUAAAUUGAGAAGAAAUUUUCUGAUUUCUUAUUCUAAGACACUUUUAAACUUAACCGGAUCUAGCAUUACGUUAAACCAUCCUUAACCAUACAUUAUACCGAUUCCCUAAUCUGAUAAGCAUAGGCUAGCAGUGAAAAAUUUGGAAAUUGUCGAGUAAACCUAAACCAAUUUUACGUUAGUUUUGGUUUGGAUAAAUUCAAUUCAGUUUUUGUUAGAUUAGGUUUA